rnacentral:tRNA from 1 species
UAAGAAUUAGUUUUAAAAAAAACAUUAAAUUGUCAAUUUAAAAAUAUUUUAUUAUUUCUAAAAAUAUUCUUAU